rnacentral:rRNA from 1 species
AGAGUUUGAUCAUGGCUCAGAACGAACGCUGACGGCGUGGCUAAGACAUGCAAGUCGUACGGACCAUCUGAUUGAGUAAUCGAGAGGAUGGUUAGUGGCGAAAGGGUGAGUAAUUCAUAGGUAACGUACCCCUAGCUCUGGGAUAGCUGCGUCCCGCAAGGGCUUUAGCGAAAGUGCAGAUAAUACCGGAUGAAAUCUUNGAGUCGCAUGGCUUGAAGAUCAAAGGGCUUUUGUACCGGCAAGGGAGCGGCCUGUGUCGUAUCAGCUAGUUGGUGAGGUAACGGCCCACCAAGGCGACGACGCGUANNGGGACUGAGAGGUUGACCCGCCACAUCGGGACUGAGACACUGCCCGGACCUCCACGGAGGGCUGCAGUAACGAAUAUUGCGCAAUGGACGAAAGUCUGACGCAGCGACGCCGUGUGUAGGAUGAAGUCCUUCGGGAUGUAAACUACUGUCGGGGUGAAGAAAGGUGAGGGCUGUAAUGCCUGAACUUGAUCGAUCCCAGAGGAAGCCACGGCUAACUUCGUGCCAGCAGCCGCGGUAAGACGAAGGUGGCAAGCGUUGUUCGGAAUUAUUGGGCUUAAAGCGCAUGCAGGCGGGAAGUUAAGUGUUCUGUGAAAUCCCUCGGCUUAACCGAGGACUAGCGGGGCAAACUAGCUUUCUUGAGGCAAGUAGGGGUGUAUGGAACUCUAGGUGGAGCGGUGAAAUGCGUAGAUAUCUAGAGGAACGCCAGCGGAGAAAUCGGUAAACUGGACUUGUUCUGACGCUGAGGUGCGAAAGCGUGGGUAGCGAACGGGAUUAGAUACCCCGGUAGUCCACGCUGUAAACGAUGUCUACUAGGUCGUGGAGGUUCUGACACCUUCGCGGCCGAAGCAAAAGUGUUAAGUAGACCGCCUGGGGAGUACGGUCGCAAGGCUAAAACUCAAAGGAAUUGACGGGGGCUCACACAAGCGGUGGAGCAUGUGGCUUAAUUCGAAGCAACGCGAAGAACCUUAUCCUGGGUUUGACAUGUAUGGAUGCCCUCGAUGAAAGUCGAGUAAGCUGCCUUCGGGUGAAACAUACACAGGUGCUGCAUGGCUGUCGUCAGCUCGUGUCGUGAGAUGUUGGGUUAAGUCCCUUAACGAGCGAAACCCUUGUCGUUAGUUACCAUCGAGCCUUCGGGUGUCGGGGACUCUAACGAGACUGCCGGUGUCAAACCGGAGGAAGGUGGGGAUGACGUCAAGUCCUCAUGGCCUUUAUGCCCAGGGCUGCACACGUGCUACAAUGGCGCGGACAAACCGAUGCAAGACCGUGAGGUGGAGCAAAUCGGAAAAACCGCGUCUCAGUUCGGAUUGCAGGCUGCAACUCGCCUGCAUGAAGUCGGAAUCGCUAGUAAUCGCAGAUCAGUACGCUGCGGUGAAUAAGUUCCUGAGCCUUGUACACACCGCCCGUCAAGUCAUGGGAGCCGGGAGUACCUGAAGUCGGGUAGCUAACCGAAAGGGGGCGCCUGCCGAUGGUAAGCUCGGUGACUGGGGCUAAGUCGUAACAAGGUAGCCGUAGGGGAACCUGUGGUUGGAUCACCUCCUU